GGAGCCGGAGUUGCGGGGAGGGCAAGCGAGUCCGGGUGCCGGCUUUGAGGGUCGGCUUGCUCUCCCCCUCCCGCGAGGGCGGGGUGGUGCGUUCCGAGUUCCCAGGAGUUCGAGGCGGGCGGGUGCCGGGGGGAGGGGAGUGGCGGCGGCGGCGGGCGGGCGGCUCCCGCUUCAACCUCAGCAGUGGCGUCGGCGACGGCGGAGUCGAGGCACCCGCGAGCGCUCGGCUGAGAGUCAGCCGGCGGCGACGGCGCAAGAGCUAGGAGUUAGGGACACGCGCGCCGGACCUUCAGCCGCCGCUGCGCCGCGGCCGCUGCUGCCGCCACCCAGAGCCUGAGGCGCCGGGGCCCGGGGAGCCUGGGGGCCGGCGGGAGAGCGGGCCGGGGGGAGGGUGGGGUAUGGCGCGGACCCCGGGGCCGGCCCCGCUGUGUCCCGGAGGCGGCAAAGCACAACUUUCCUCCGCUUCUCCCCCCGGGGCCGGGCUCCUGCUGCCGCCCCCGACGCCACCGCCGCUGCUGCUGCUGCUCUUCCCGCUGCUGCUCUUCUCCCGGCUCUGUGGUAGGUGAACCGCGGCGGUCGGCGCGGGCUGAGGG
rnacentral:lncRNA from 1 species